CUCUUGUUUUACCUCAUUCUGAGAUGAUAUACAGCCUGUCUUCUGAAUAUUUUAUCAUAGAACCAACUUUGAGAUUCAUCCUCAGAGAAUGAGAGUGCGAGUACAGAGAGCCAACAAUCCAGAGAACAAGGAGGAGGAGGAAGAGGGAAGCACAUCUGGAGCAGAAGCACUGCACACCCACACCUCCUCUCUUCUGCAGGUGGAGGUGUGAGAAGAUGUUGUGAUCGCAGUGGAGACUCCAGCUGCUCUCUCACGAGGUGUCAUGGCUGACUCGCUCUUCCUCUGCACAGAAAAAAAAACCUUGCCACUUUCUUUGAGUAAGCAUAAUUAAACACAGAGGAAAAAUGACUGGAAGACAGACGGCUGAAUAGCCAGAAGAGGUAGUGGAGGACUUUGUUAUGGAGAUAAUUAAGUUUUGUUAGUUUCUUUGUUUCUUUGUGUGUUUUGACCAAUGUUAUGGUCAUUAGUUUGGUAUUUUUGGGAAGCUCUAAUAUAGGCACUUGAUAAUACUGAUCACUGAUUAUCAAGAAUCACUCUUACAAUUUGCUUUCUUAACAUUCUUUGACAAAUGUGAGUGCAGUUGUCACAGCUGUUUUAUGGGACAUCACAAUUGUCUACAAUACAUUUGCAAAAUGCAAUAAUUAACCCAAAACAUUUCAUUCAUAUAUCAAAACAUAGUUAUUGAAC
rnacentral:lncRNA from 1 species